AUCCAACUGACGAGCCCCAAAUAGGACGAAAGGCGCAUCCUGGAU
rnacentral:hammerhead_ribozyme from 1 species